CACACCUAGGGUAGUCGAAAUUCAUACUUGGAGAGGGAAUGUUCCAUGAAGUUUCGAAGCGAAGAAAGUUUAAAAGAAUAGGAGAGUUUGAAUAGAGAGGAAAAAAAGAGGGAUUUAAGUUUAAAAAGCCUAUUUGGGCAAGUUCGGCCUCCUAAGUUAGUUUAAGACGACAUAUAUAAACUGAAUUAAAGGGAGCCCCCUAGCCCAUUUCCUCAUUUUCCCCAUAUUCCUUACCACUUAGUCCUUUUUCGUCUAUUUUCUCUAGCCCAUAGCCCUAAAAUACACUAUGCUAGCCUUUACAUGAAAGAGAAUCAUCCUAAACCUCUCUGAAGGGUAAAUAGCAUCCUUUUCCUAGCGGAUUGAAGAAGUGAGAGAAGCUCUUCCUAAUGAAAACCUUAGCUAAGAUAGAUCCCAAGCAUGUCCUAGCAAGCCUCAGUGACCAUGAAGGGCAAAGCAGCAACCGCAAAUGGCAUUUGGGUGGCAAGAAAAGAAGGUGUGAGAAAAAGGCAACAUCAGUAACUUUGGGGUUAGUGCCUCCUGACGUUCGAUGGUCUUAAUCUUGACGACAUCAGACUCCCCACAUUCCCAGCUUUCUUUUCUAACAAAUGAAAUCCAAUAUGGUGGUUAGAGGAGAAAGAACCAAAAAGAGAGAUAAUGGGUAUUUUCAAGGCUUUUCGGCCAUUUUUUAGAGAAUCCAACUGUCAGUCGGAGGAUCCAAAACCAUCUAUGGACUCCACUCGAUAAGAGCUUUACUUCAAUUUGAAAAAAAGCAAUCAUUAGGUGGCUUAGAAUGAUCAGUCAGUGGUAGCUUUUCAAAAAUGGGACUGUGUUUCCAGUUAAUCAAGAGCGCUCGAUGGACCGUUCCAAAAGAUAGUCAAUAUUAUACUAUAUCCUAGCAUUUUCUAA